AAAAUGUGUAGAACUAAGAAAACUCACGUAAUGUGCUGCUGCUUCAAGUGCGCAAUCAAAAUUCUCAUUUCGAUGUUUACUGGGUGCUUUUUGGUCCUUGUCGUUGCUGGAUUAAUACUCUUCUUGGUUUACGACUACGACUACGAAAGGGAGGACGAUGCCACCAUGCUACAUAAUGAUGUUCAAGAUGGAAUGAAAAACACAUUAGAAAAUUUUAAAAAUAAAUUAAGACCAUAAUCUAUAAGUACCAUCUUUCAAUAGCAGUCUUGUUUAAGCUUGCUUGUUCCUGGUACAUUCAUACCACGCUAUGCUACUGCUAUUUGUAUGACAUUUUGUUAUAAUGUCCAUUUUUAAUUAAGGCACGUUUUCGAUUUACGGCCUAAAA